UAGCCUAGUGGUGAAGGCCAUGGAUCGCCAAUCCGGAGACGGCGGGUUCGAUUCCCGU
rnacentral:tRNA from 1 species